UUUAGCUUCAUCAUCAGUGGGUUACAUUUUCCCCUGCAGCUUUUCGAGCCAAGUCAAUCAGCGUUGUCUUGCAGAAGAGGAUUAUGUUCCUGUAUCUUCAAGAGUCUAUCAGCAUUAAAUGAGAUUCAGCUUCUCAGAAAUCAUGGAAACAGUCCCAGAGAAGUUCAAGAAGUAUGAAGACCAUGUGAAAAUUCUUGUCAUAGAAUUUGGCUUCUGGGAAAUGGGUCUAUCACUAUACAACUUGUAUGCAAUUCAGCAAAAAACUGAGAGACUCUACAUCCCUUUUAUAGAUGAAGAAACUAAGCUCAUUUGCCUAAGAUUACACAACAGAUAUAUGGCAGGGGAGAAUUGAAGCCCAGACAAUUUUAUUACAGCAUUCUCCUGCAUUAGUCUGCAAUUGCCAUUUUUCUAAGAACUUUUUGCUGAUUUCCAUAUCCUUUGUCCUGGAGCCCAUCUACUUGCCAACCUUCUGCCACCAAAAGACAAUAAAAAUAUGUGAC